rnacentral:lncRNA from 1 species
GGGUCCACACAUUCAGGUGACAGCCAAACAAGGACUCUGACUCCCUCUAUCCUGAAUCUCCUGACUCCCCAGUCCAUUGCUUCUUCCAUCCAACUUUCUGUUGGAGCUAAGGAGUUUCUAGAAAUGGAUAGCAGCCCAAGAGGGGAAUGAAUCCUCCUGAACUACAAUUAAAACUUGACUGUAACUUCCUGGACCAGCCCCUGAGAGCCAAGCCACUUUAAAGAGCAGCAGACGGUGGGGACCUACUGCCACCCAGGCACAGAUGCUCAUAUUGAGUAUGGCAAGAGGUUAUUUACUGAUAGCUUUGAGUUUCCUGUGUUUCCAUGGCUAUCAGUCAUUCUGGUUCUUUCCUAGGCUUCCCUCUCCUGUCCCUCUUCUUAUCCAUCAACUGGAAUAUCCCAUUCCUGAUUUAUGAUGUAUAUAAGACUCAAGGCACGUGAUCCAUUGGGAAUCAGGUCUACUGCUGUCAUUGUUGGGAAUCCUGAAUAUAUCAAACUUAUUUUUACAAAGGUGAAGAAACUGAGACCCAGAAAGUUUAAGAUGACUUGCCCAGUGUCACACUAAUAAAUAAUAAUAAAAUAAUAUCUAACAUAUGUAAUGUAAAAUGA